rnacentral:rRNA from 1 species
AUACGGAGGGUGCAAGCGUUAUCCGGAAUCAUUGGGUUUAAAGGGUCCGUAGGCGGACUAAUAAGUCAGGGGUGAAAUCCCACAGCUUAACUGUGGAACUGCCUUUGAUACUGUUAGUCUUGAGUUAUAUUGAAGUAGAUAGAAUGUGUAGUGUAGCGGUGAAAUGCUUAGAGAUUACACAGAAUACCGAUUGCGAAGGCAGUCUACUACAUAUAUACUGACGCUAAUGGACGAAAGCGUGGGGAGCGAACAGGAUUAGAAACCCUAGUAGUCC